UACGUAGGGCGCAAGCGUUGUCCGGAAUUAUUGGGCGUAAAGAGCUCGUAGGCGGCUUGUCACGUCGGGUGUGAAAGCCCGGGGCUUAACCCCGGGUCUGCAUUCGAUACGGGCUAGCUAGAGUGUGGUAGGGGAGAUCGGAAUUCCUGGUGUAGCGGUGAAAUGCGCAGAUAUCAGGAGGAACACCGGUGGCGAAGGCGGCCCCCUGGACCGGUACUGACGCUGAGGCGCGAAAGCGAGGGGAGCAAACAGG
rnacentral:rRNA from 1 species